rnacentral:lncRNA from 1 species
CCAUCCCAGAAUUCUAAAUACUACAUAUUUUUUUUGACAAAAAUAUGUUUUAAGUAAUACGCCUGGCAGUGUAAUGAAAGUUCCCCGAAAGCACCAUAUACAAACAAAAAGAAGAAAAGUAGCUUGCAAGUGUAUAAAUUGGAAUAAAAUGGAGAUGAUAAACGUAUAUAUAUAUAGUACUUGAAUAAAUAAUUUGAGAUUG